CAAACGACUCUCGGCAACGGAUAUCUCGGCUCACGCAUCGAUGAAGAACGUAGCAAAAUGCGAUACUUGGUGUGAAUUGCAGAAUCCCGUGAACCAUCGAGUUUUUGAACGCAAGUUGCGCCCGANGCCAUUUGGUUGAGGGCACGUCUGCCUGGGCGUCACGCA
rnacentral:rRNA from 1 species